AGCAGCCGCGGUAAUUCCAGCUCCAAUAGCGUAUAUUAAAGUUGUUGCAGUUAAAAAGCUCGUAGUUGAAUUUCGGGGUCAAUACGUCGGUCGUGCCUCCGGUACGUACUGACGUCGUUGAUUCCUCCUUUCUGAUGAGCCACGAUGUCAUUAAUUUGGUGUUGUGGGGAGUCAGGACUGUUACUUUGAAAAAAUUAGAGUGUUUAAAGCAGGCAAACGCUUGAAUACAUUAGCAUGGAAUAAUGAAAUAGGACGUUCGAACCUAUUUUGUUGGUUUCUAGGAUCAACGUAAUGAUUAAUAGGGAUAGUUGGGGGCAUUAGUAUUCAAUUGUCAGAGGUGAAAUUCUUGGAUUUAUUGAAGACUAACUACUGCGAAAGCAUUUGCCAAGGAUGUUUUCAUUAAUCAAGAACGAAAGUUAGGGGAUCGAAGACGAUCAGAUACCGUCGUAGUCUUAACCAUAAACUAUGCCGACUAGGGAUCGGAUGAAGUUAAUUUUUAAUGACUCAUUCGGCGCCUUAC
rnacentral:rRNA from 1 species